rnacentral:rRNA from 1 species
UACAGAGGUCUCAAGCGUUGUUCGGAUUCAUUGGGCGUAAAGGGUGCGUAGGUGGCGCCGUAAGUCAGGUGUGAAAUUUCGGAGCUUAACUCCGAAACUGCAUUUGAUACUGCGGUGCUUGAGGACUGGAGAGGAGACUGGAAUUCACGGUGUAGCAGUGAAAUGCGUAGAUAUCGUGAGGAAGACCAGUGGCGAAGGCGGGUCUCUGGACAGAUCCUGACACUGAGGCACGAAGGCCAGGGGAGCAAACGGG